rnacentral:rRNA from 1 species
GAUGAACGCUAGCUACAGGCUUAACACAUGCAAGUCGCGGGGCAGCAUGGGGGUUGCUUGCCACUCCCGAUGGCGACCGGCGCACGGGUGAGUAACGCGUAUCCAACCUGCCCUUCACCACGGGAUAACCCGGCGAAAGUCGGACUAAUACCGUAUGUUGUCCAUUGACGGCAUCCGAUUUGGACGAAAGGCUUUGCGGUGAAGGAUGGGGAUGCGUCCGAUUAGCCAGACGGCGGGGUAACGGCCCACCGUGGCUACGAUCGGUAGGGGUUCUGAGAGGAAGGUCCCCCACACUGGAACUGAGACACGGUCCAGACUCCUACGGGAGGCAGCAGUGAGGAAUAUUGGUCAAUGGGCGUAAGCCUGAACCAGCCAAGUAGCGUGCAGGAUGACGGCCCUAUGGGUUGUAAACUGCUUUUAUGCGGGGAUAAAGUGGCCCACGUGUGGGCUUUUGCAGGUACCGCAUGAAUAAGGACCGGCUAAUUCCGUG